UACGAAGGGGGCUAGCGUUGCUCGGAAUCACUGGGCGUAAAGGGUGCGUAGGCGGGUCUUUUAAGUCAGGGGUGAAAUCCUGGAGCUCAACUCCAGAACUGCCUUUGAUACUGAGGAUCUUGAGUAUGGGAGAGGUGAGUGGAACUGCGAGUGUAGAGGUGAAAUUCGUAGAUAUUCGCAAGAACACCAGUGGCGAAGGCGGCCUCACUGGCCCAUUACUGACGCUGAGGCACGAAAGCGUGGGGAGCAAACAGG
rnacentral:rRNA from 1 species